rnacentral:rRNA from 1 species
AUGGAGAGUCUACUACAUUGGGACUUUGCCCCGGGCCUAGCCCUUGCAGACUAGGUGAGAAGAAAAUUUGGAUCUAUUGUUCAUUUUUCUCUCUCUCAAGACAUCAAGGAGUUCUUCCUUGUCGUCACAUUUACCUCGGCCUCUUUUCCUCUUACUAUGGAUUCUGUUGGCAUUGCACUACAAUGUUGCAAUGGUGGUAUAUGCUCUGGUUUCAAAGUGACUCAAAUCAACCCUCGAGCUUUUAGAUUCUCAGUGGCCAACAACAAAGUGGGGCACUUUAUCUAUGUUCUAAAGGAUCAAGUUUGGCCGGAUUUUGUUUGUCAUUUCCACCUUCUCAAUGGUCGUUUUACUCCUGCUCCCACCUCUACCAAUGUUUGA